rnacentral:misc_RNA from 1 species
AACCGCUGUAUGCGGAACCGUAUGUACGGUGGUGUGGAGAGCCGUGAGGCUCCCCUAUCCCAAU